CGCGAACGAUUCGAGAAUCGACCGACGAUGGAUAAACGUCGUGUCCGUUUCUCGUUUCGAAUCGAACGUA